CCGAAAAUACAUUAGAGGUCAAUUACGUAAAGAACAUAAAUUAAAGGCCAAGUUUUCUGUGAAGCUCAUGGCUAGUUAUAGAGCACUUGUGUUAGUUACCAUUAACUCCCUCCUCAGUAAUCCUGUUGUAAUCUAAGCAUCCAAGCAAAUGGAUGAAAGGGUGUGUUUUGCACCUAAAUCUGUUCUUACUCCUCUGUACCAUCACUUUUUGGUUUUUUUUCGAGAUAAGACACUAAAAAAAACCCGUAUUACAAGGAUGUGGAACCAGUGAUUUUUUAAACAGGUUGUGCUCAUUUUGAAGCUGGUCUGUGUGUGGCUAAGCUGUGACAAUUCUGUCCCAUCAGACACGGUGCCUUGCCGUAGGUUUCCUUUGGACGUUGAUACAAACACCUGAAAUUCAAUCAUUUGCUCUAAACAAAUCCAUGAAAGACAACAUAAUAAAUUAGAAACUAUCAACACAAAGAAAAAAUAGUCAAUUUCGCACAUAUCAUAAGCAAAAAGUAUUACAAUAUUCAAAUCAUGUUUGAUAUGUAAGCAAUUUGGUCCUAACCUAAUGUUAAUUUAAAUAAUUACGACAAAAUACUUAAGGAGAUGAAAUAUUGACUUUUUAACAAAUCCUUGCACUUUUGUUUGCUUACUUCCUUUCAUCCAAAGUCAAACCAUUUUUAAAGAACAGAAUAAUUUUCAGCUUUAUUAGAGAUCUCAUUUAGUCCAGAACCAUUGCAAUUAACAAUCCACACAAUUUACUCAGGGAAGAGCCACCAGAGCAAAAAGAACAACUGUCCACCAGAUAUGUCAGUCUGUCUUCAGCAUACAAUCAUAAGAUCUGGACCACUGAUCUGUUUUGUUUUUGUUUUUUUAACUGUUAAACAACUCUGCUCCUAUAAAAUUCUGGGUUAAUUUCUUAAACAGACAUAUUGCAAUUGUUCCUACUUAAUUUUAAAGAAAUAACUAGUGUAAACGAGGCAGAAAACAAUACUUGCUUGCACUUGUUUUCUUCUUUAUUUUUGUGUCAAACAUAUUCUAAUUUUUGACAGAUGUGGCAUAUUGGAGCAAAACGUUCCAGUUUGCAUAAAUUAAAUAAAUUAAAAAUAUUUGUUAUGACAAACAUGUUUCUGCACUUUUAGAACAGAAAGGUGCCAGUGAUAUUUAAAGGAAAUAUAUUUGGUUUUGAAGCCCCAGUGAUAAUGAUAACAAAAAGAUACAAGACAGCACCAAAGAUUUUGGGAAGCCCCUCUGUGCUAAGCAGCACAUUUGAUGUAAGACAAGUAACUGCAGUACUUACAUCAACUGAGAAAGGGGAUGUUACAUGCAAAUGCUUCUUUAAUGAGAACACCUGAUGAUUUGAUAGAUAAAAAUGAUUAGCACUAAGAUUAUUUAAAGCCUCAGGGCAGCUCAGGCCACAUAGAUGGCUUGGCAGAGAAAAAUCAUGCCAGUUGAGCUGGGCAUUUUUUUUGAGCUACAUGCUCCUGUAUUCCUGCCCCACAGCUUCUCUGGUUCCCCUCCCUAACCCAUUUCUCACUCUUUUUUGUUCCACAAUUUUCUUUUCCCACCACACCUUCUCUCUCUGUACCUGCCUGUGAAGUGCCUCUGCCUGCAAUUCUUUGAAAUUAACUCAGAUAUAAAUCCAUAAUGGAGAUAUAGAAUCUGGAUGCAAUUAUUUACACAUUUAGCUCUAUUUACUAUUUGUUGGUCUUGAUAGAUAAAAAUUCAGCAUGAACUGAAAAAGCUAAACCUUUGGGAGAGGUCUGCUGAGGCAGACUGGAUAUCAAUCAGUGAUGGAAACUGUGAUCUACAAAAAUUCCAGAAUAAAUAUUGAUGUUUGUGCAGCUGUUACAAGGCACCGUUAUAGAUUUAUAUGACCUGUUCUCAUGCCCAGUUUAGAUGCCAGGAGAUAUUUUGUAAAACCCUAAACUUUCCUCAGGUUAAAAUUUUCAGAGAGAGAAAAAAAAGAGAGAGCAGGUAAAGGAGAGAAAUUUAGAAGGACAGAGAGAGGUUGCAGAGAGAAGGGGAUAAGUUAGGAGGGUUAGAUGCAGAGAUCAAGAGAAGCUGCUGCGGUGCGAUUAGCAACAUCCAGAAAUGUGAGCGUGGACAGGUCUGGGGGAACUGAGGAUGUGAGGGACAUGUCCAAAGACACUGAGGGAGUGAGGGAAGAAGCAUCUUGAAAGCUGAUAUUGGAGACAUCCAGAAAAGGUGUAGAGAUGAGAUUGGAAACAUCCUCAGGAGUUGAAGAAGAUAAUCCAGAGGAGCGCUGAAACAUGAAAUAAUUAAAAUCGGUGAGGUCUAGAGAUUCCGACGAGGUGGAGGAGCUGUACUCGGAGACACCUGGUGAAGAUGGAGGGAUUGUACAGGAAAAGUCCAGGGAAGCUGAGGAGGUGAGACUGGAAACAUCUGUGGAGGAUGAAGAAGUGAGACUGGAGAGAUCUAGAGAGAGUGAAGAAGUAGGGCUGGAGAAAUCUGUGGAUAGAGAGGUGACACUUGAGAGAUCUAAAGAGAUUGAAGAACUGUCGCCAGACUGAUCCAGAGAGCCUGAUGAAGUGAGACUUGAUAGGUCCAGUGAAACUGAAGAGGAGAAACUGGAGCGCUCCCAGGAAUCUGAAGAGGUGAGACUGGAGAGCUCUAAGGAAAUUGAAGAGGAGGUACUGGAGAAGUCUGAGGAGAAUGAAGACGUGAGACUUGAAAGAUCCAGAGAGGAUGAAGAAGUGAGACUGGAGAAUUCCACAGAGGAUGAAGAGCUCAGACUGGAUAAAUCCAAUGAAUCUGAAAAGGGGAUUUUAAAGAGUUCCAAGGAGGCUAAAGUCUUGACACUGGAGGGGUCCAGGGAGGCCAAAAAAGUGAGACCAAGUAGGUCCAGACUGCGCCGCAAAGCUCAGAGCGCUCAAACCUGCAGCUGCCUCUCCAGACAGGCACAGGAAGGCACAAAAAGCUCUUCACUCAUCACAAGCACAUUUUUUGGAGCAAGAAAGUGCAAGAUACAGGACAGUAUUCUCAGGGCUAGUUGAUGAAGCAGAUGAAGACAUUAAUUUUUAACUUUUGGACACCUGGAUUCAAAGUAAAAAUAAUUUUGCAGUGCCAUCCAAGUCUCAGCUGUCCAUUCUACAAAAUCUGGCAUAAAUAGCCUGAGGAGGGACGCAGGAUCUGCAGAGCACAAUUCAGGGUCAACAACAGAAUGCUCCUGCACGUACGUCCUUGUCCUGCAGGUGCCGAUGAGCUGGGGACAGGCAAACAGAGAUGGCAUCAAUUCCACUAACCCACUGCAAUUCUUCAUGCCUUUAAAUGCACCAGCAGUGGCUACUGCAUUGAACAGACACCAAGAGAACACCAUUAGGAUUUAGCUUAAAACAAAGCUAUUCAGCUGAGAUAGAUCUGAUUUUCCAGAUAGCAGCAGUCUGAGAUCAAGAGCUGGCUACCAGGGUCACUGUGUGCUGCUGCUGCACUUUCCCAAUACGUAAAUGCUUAAGUCAUUAAAUGUUUAAACCAUUAAAGUUAUGAAAUAA